rnacentral:tRNA from 1 species
GGGGACAUAGCACAGUGGUUAUGCAAAAGAUUUCCAUCCUUAAGGUUCUAGGUUCAGUUCCCAAUGCCACCA